rnacentral:rRNA from 1 species
GAAACGGCUACCACAUCUAAGGAAGGCAGCAGGCGCGCAAAUUACCCAAUUCUAAUAGCAAAAGAGAGGUAGUGACAAGAAAUAACAGUACAAGGCAAUUAAAAUGCUUUGUAAUUGGAAUGAUAGAAAUUUAAAUACUUUUUAAAGUAUCAAUUGGAGGGCAAGUCUGGUGCCAGCAGCCGCGGUAAUUCCAGCUCCAAUAGCGUAUAUUAAAAUUGUUGCAGUUAAAAAGCUCGUAGUUGAAUUUCUGCUAGAAAUAACCGGUUUGCUUUUAUUAAUAAAAGUGGUAUCUUGGUGUGUUUCUAGCAAUAAUGUUCUUUGAAGUGUUUUUUACUUAAUUGUAAAAAGCAAAUUUCAGGAUUUUUACUUUGAGAAAAUUAGAGUGUUUCAAGCAUGCUAACGUUUUGAAUACUGCAGCAUGGAAUAAUAAAAUAG